rnacentral:rRNA from 1 species
UACGGAGGGUGCAAGCGUUAUCCGGAUUCACUGGGUUUAAAGGGUGCGUAGGUGGGUUGGUAAGUCAGUGGUGAAAUCUCCGUGCUUAACAUGGAAACUGCCAUUGAUACUACUGGUCUUGAAUUUUCUGGAGGUAAGCGGAAUAUGUCAUGUAGCGGUGAAAUGCUUAGAUAUGACAUAGAACACCAAUUGCGAAGGCAGCUCACUACACAAAUAUUGACACUGAGGCACGAAAGCGUGGGGAUCAAACAGG